UGGGGAAUAUUGCACAAUGGGGGAAACCCUGAUGCAGCGACGCCGCGUGCGGGAUGAAGGCCUUCGGGUUGUAAACCGCUUUCAGCAGGGGCGAAUCGAGACGGUACCUGCAGAAGAAGCGCCGGCUAACUACGUGCCAGCAGCCGCGGUAAUACGUAGGGCGCAAGCGUUGUCCGGAAUUAUUGGGCGUAAAGAGCUCGUAGGCGGCCUGUUGCGUCCGCUGUGAAAUCCCGGGGCUUAACCCCGGGCGUGCAGUGGAUACGGGCAGGCUGGAGGCAGGCAGGGGAGAACGGAAUUCCCGGUGUAGCGGUGAAAUGCGCAGAUAUCGGGAGGAACACCGGUGGCGAAGGCGGUUCUCUGGGCCUGUACUGACGCUGAGGAGCGAAAGCGUGGGGAGCGAACAGGAUUAGAUACCCCCGUAGUCC
rnacentral:rRNA from 1 species